UACGGGGGGGCAAGCGUUGUUCGGAAUUACUGGGCGUAAAGGGCUCGUAGGCGGCCAACUAAGUCAGACGUGAAAUCCCUCGGCUUAACCGGGGAACUGCGUCUGAUACUGGAUGGCUUGAGUUCGGGAGAGGGAUGUGGAAUUCCAGGUGUAGCGGUGAAAUGCGUAGAUAUCUGGAGGAACACCGGUGGCGAAGGCGGCAUCCUGGACCGACACUGACGCUGAUGAGCGAAAGCCAGGGGAGCAACGGG
rnacentral:rRNA from 1 species